rnacentral:lncRNA from 1 species
GGAUAACAUAACCUCUAAUGUCAAUGUUUACAUGUCAUUUAUUGGAUCUGAUAAAAUCUAAUAUCUAAAAGAUAUAGUGAAAUUUAUAAUAUAAAAAUACUAUAAAUAUAUACUGUAAAAACAGUGUUUUCAUAAUAAAUUUAUAUUUUUAUAUAGUGUGUGCAUAAUGGAUUAUUCAAGACAGCCUCACAGAAAAGUUGAUUCAAGAAAUUAUAUCGGCAGAAAAAAAGAUCUAAAUUUUGUUCUGCUAAUAAAAAAUUAAAAAGUUCUUCUGCCCGUAAACUGUCGUCUCUAGAUUAUCCUGAGGUUGAUUUCGAAGGUUAUAGAAUCUUUGAUAUGAGACUUUUGUUUACAUUCUUAGAGAACAAUUUGAUGUGUAAGUGUGGUGGAAAUAUAAAAUUUUAUGAAAUAAAAUGUCAUGGAUUAGGUGGCAAUUAUUCUAUUACGUGUGAUAAGUGUUUUCAUAAGAAGAAUUUUCACCACUGUAAAAAAAUUUGAAAAAAUUCAAAUAUUUUUGAAAUCAAUAGACGCAGUGUCCUAGCUAUGAGACUGGUUGGUGGUGGCCUUGAAAGUCUGAGAACUUUUUGUGGAGUAAUUGACUUUCCUCGUCCAAUUCAAAAUGCAACUUUUACUAAAAUACGUAAUGUGCUUUUUGAAGUUACAUCAAGAGUUGCGGAUAAGUUUAUGUCUGAAGCUGUAGACGAAGAACUUCUACUUACACGUACUAAUUUACAAAAUAAUAUAUGUGAACCUGAAAUUGUUAAUCCAGAAGCUAUUAGUCAACUGAGUAUUGAAGAUUUAGAUGAAAAUAUGUUAGAUGAUGAAUCAGAUGUUACGAAUACUCCAGAUUAAAUCGUAGCUUGUAAACCAGAAAUAGGUGUUCAAGGUCAUGGUACGUGGCAGCGUCGAGGUCAUAGAUCCUACAAUGGAGUUUUUACAAUCUUGGGUCAAGAAAGUGGAAAGAUUAUUGAUUUAGAAGUUCUUUCUUCUUACUGUUUACAAUGCAACCAGUAUGAAAAAGUGUAUGGAUCAGAAGGUACUAAAGAAUGGGAAAUGGGAAACAGCACACACUUACCAUUAUGUACAAAAAACCAUUGGGGUUCUUCUGGGUCAAUGGAGUCUUCAGCGAUUGUGGAUAUUUUUAGUCGAUAAAUAGAAAAAUAUAAUGUAAAAUAUGUGUCGUUUUAGGAGAUGGAGAUUCGUCAACAUUUUCAAACAUUAUAAUAUCUAAACCUUAUGGAAAUCAUGUGACAAUAAGUAAGAAAGAGUGUUGUGGUCAUGUUCAAAAACUCUUUGGAACGCAGCUCAGAAACUUGAAGAAAAACAAAAAACUUGGAGGAAAAGGAAAACUGACCGAUAAGAUUAUAGAUAUACUACAAACUUACUAUGGCAAUGCUAUUAGAGCACACCCGGAUUCAAUAGAAGACAUGACUAGAGCAAUUUGGGCAAUUUUUUAUCACAAAACCUCAACUAAUCAAAAUCCUCAGCACAUGCACUGUCCUCCUGGAUCCGACUCUUGGUGUAAAUACCAAAAAGCAGUAGCUGAACGUAAACAAGAUGAGUAUGUUCAUCCAUGAACACUACCAGAAGAAAUUUUCAACGAGAUCAAGGUUGUAUUUGAAAAAUUGUCGGAGCCAGAGCUUCUAAGAAAAUCUUUGGGUGGAAAAACUCAGAAUGCUAAUGAGUCCUUUAAUAAUGUUUUGUGGAAUAUUGCUCCUAAAACGGACUUUGUUGGACUUGAGAAUCUACAAAUAUCUGCCUUCUUAGCUUGUAUAAUGUUUUCAAGUGGCUGGAAAGGAUUACUGUAUCUUAUAUCAGAGUUGAAUAUCAAACCUGGCAAAAAUGCAUUAUUCGCUGCAGUAACAAAAGAUCAAGCACGUAUCAAAGAUGCUGAAAUACAAGCAGAGUGUAAUACAAAAGAGACAGGAAAAUUGAGAAGACUGUUACUUAUUUCAACUGUUGAUGAUGGUGCAUAUGUCAGUGGCGGGCACUAAAAUGUUAUUUCUAAUCAAAUUGUAUAAACAGUAUACAGUAUACACAGUAAUAUAGUAUAACCUAUAAAAAGUUUUACAGAACUGCAGUUACAUUAAAUACAGGUUGUGAUCUACUAAAGUUAAAGUAUAGUGCUAGAACUCCAAAUAAAUGUAAAAAAGUAGUAGAACAACAUAUUGUAAUAUAUUUAAUAUAGAAUUAUGAUGCAAAUUUCAGAAAAAUAAUGAAAACACGUUUUUGUAUUAUUUUAAAUAUUAUUCUAAUAAUGCUUUCAAUACCCUGCAUUUUUCUUUGAGUACCGCAGAAUUCAGACUAAACGGAUCAAUGAAUUGUACCAAACCAAGGCUUGUUCUGUUCAUUAGACAUCUCUCUACGGAGUGAGUGUGGGAUUUUGUAAAAUACUGACAGCGUAUAAAGUUAUAGCUUUUUAAAGUUAAAAAUUACAAAAAUUUGGGCUUUAAGAAGCUAUAACUUUAUACGCUGUCAGUAUUUUACAAAAUCCCACACUCACUCCGUAGAGACAUGUCUAAUGAACAGAACAAGCCUUGGUUUGGUACAAUUCAUUGAUCCGUUUAGUCUGAAUCCUGCGGUACUCAAAAAAAUAGCAUGUUUUACACUGCAGCAGUUUUUAAGACAAUAUAUCUAUUGAGACAUAUAUAAAAAAUUAUGUCUACAGUUUUUUACAUUAUAAUAUUAAAUUAAAUAAUUACUUUACAUUUUGGCAUAAAAAAUCAUUCAGUUUUACAAAAAACAAGACAUUAUUGUAAUAAUUAUUUUAAGGUGGUUAGGUCCACUUAAAAGGACUGAUUUUUUCAACUAUUAUAGAGACUAUGAAGAGGAUGACGACGACGAUGACGACGACGAUGACGACGAGGACGAUGAUGAGUCAUUCGGUGGCGGUGACUCUACUCUUGGCGUACCGAGCCAAGAAGCCACUAGGAACGGUGAAUGAGGCCUCUCGAUCUCACCUGACGCCUCCCGAUCAGAUGUCGUGAAGAGUCGUCGUCUCGUCGAAUCUUGCUCUUGUCGCGGUCGUGCUCUUGGAGAGUCGCGGGGUCUGAUGACUCGUCGUCUCGGCAUGUCUGCGAAGAAUGAGCUCUCUCUCGAUCUUGCGCAGAUACUUAUACUUUUGCGGUGGUGGUGGUGGGGGCAUAUAUUCGUAUUCUACGUUGUGAGAAUUUAGUGGCCCUGAAAAGGGCCGAUUGUUUCCUACUGGAAAAAUCUCUGGUCGACGAGAUCCCAGAAUGUUCUAACUCGACUCGAGUUUGGCGAGGCUCGAUGUCGAGCUAGCAGAGCAGCAGCUUCCGAGCAAAUUCUCACAAUUUCCACAAUCAUCGCGAGUUUAAGACUAGCAAGCUCUUGACGUUCCUUUCGCUCUCUGAUGCUCAAUCGUCUUGGACAGCACAUGUUGGCAGUCAAAAAGCGAAUGACAGUAUGCAGCUGUCAUCGCUGAAUAUAAGUGUAUGCUCGUAGAAGAGUGGAGGGGAGUAAUAGAAUAUUCUACGUUUAAUAUUUUGGUGGCCCUGAAAAGGUUUGAUUUUUUACUGCUGCUGCUAACUGUCGUCGUUAUCGUCGUCCUCAUUCAUGUCGAGAUAGAAAGUUUGAAUGUGGUACAACACCUCAAACAUUUCUUCACGAUCACGAAUGUCCUCUCCUUAAAUGCAGCUCUUGUCUCGCGCUCUUUAUUAUGCGAGAUAGUGUCUCCCGUCGAAGCGUGCGCUCGCAAGAAAGUUACUUCUUACAGUUUGUUUCACGUUUGAAUUAUACUUCUAGUCCUGAAAAGAACUGAUGGAAAUUUCAUGCGACCUUCGGUCGAUGAGACGCAUUGCGCUGGUAAGAGCCGAGUCGCUCGCAUCUCCGCCUGCGAUAAUUCUCUCUCUCUCUCUCUCUCUCUCUCUCUCUCUCUCUCUCUCUCUCUCUCUCUUGUGACGAGAUUAGCUCGUCAUCACUGUGCACAGAAUCCUCGCCUCGCUCUCGUUACUGGAGUCGCCCCAAUGGCAGUAAUUGCUAAUAUUUUGGGUGAUUGUAGUAGUAACGAGAGGAGAGAGGAGUCGUGGCCAGCAGCUUCAUCGCACGUCAGUCACCGGAGCAGACGACGCAAUCGCACACUCGGCUGACCAGAGCGGCAACUCCCGGAUCCGAGCAGCGCUGCUUUGACUCCCGUCAACGGAAGCAAGCGCGCCGAGACCACGAGGCAGCAACGCUGGAGAGUCGGCAGUGCGGAGAGGGGGAAACCGCACGGCCAGCAGCACGACGAGUCAACAGCUGCGCGCGCGCGCCGAGUGUAUAGCGAUACGUAUGCCGAGGCCCGACUGUUUUGGAGUGGAGGGAGAAGACCCGAUUGGCAACCGGUGGAGGCGCGCCUGCUAACAUCUGAGAUAGAUGUGUAGAGGGCAUAAGCCCAGUUCAUACUGGCGCCGUUGUACGCGGCUCAGAGCCAGAAAUAUGAUGAAAACAAGGGCGUGAGAGAGUGAGAGAAUGAGUCGCGGUUCGAAUCGCGCGCGUAUUGACUUCUGUAUCGACGUCUGUUUAGUCGCCUGCGUGCGAGAAAUAUCGAUUAUCGACAGGCUCGAUGAGGUCCUUGUGGCGGAGAGACCCGCGACGCGAGCAUUGUAGUUCCGGACAGCAACGAGCACGAAACCUGGAGUAGAUCCCCCCGGUUUUGAUUAACUGUACGAGAGAGUUCUUCGCGAGUUCGCUUUUCUUAGAGGACGAGACAUCAUCAGGAGGAGAGGAAGUAACAGUUGUGAUGCGGAAAUUGGUAGCCAGGUUAGUAAGACUCAUGGUGUCGAGAACUCGUAGGGAAGCUAGUGGCCGCCGGGAACGAGCAUUCAUUGAUGCCACGUGGCGCGAGGGAAUUUCGAAGUACGCGGCGCGACGAGAAUUGUGUGAGUGAGAGUGAGUUUCAAAGUCAGAAUUAACGCAUUCUAUUAGAAGUUGAGUUGUAUAAUUUGUGGUCAGACAAAGAGUAAAUAAAAAUUCUUUCUUACUUUAGUACUUAAAUAUCGAGCAAAGUGUUAUUUAGUCCCUAAUCACCCGCUAUUUCGCAUAGUCGUAAGACCGGGAGUAUCACCCGAAAUACUUUGUGUUCGUCAUCUGAACCUCCUCGCGAGGGAAAGAGUUUCACAGCCGCGGUAGAAGGCGAGAGUAUUGUGUCGCGGGUAAAGUGUAGUUCGGCCUGGCGCCCUGUUAUUAAUAAAUUCGGCCGGAUUAUUCUUUUAUUGUCAACGUUGGUGUUCGGGAGUUGUUCGCUGGGCCCUCCAUCCCAGUGAGCAUCCGCCACGUCACACUCUCUCUCUCUCUCUCUCUCUCUCUCUCUCUCUCUCUGCCGCUGUCGUCCGCUCGCCACCGCCGUUGAGAAUGUGACUCUAGUCCGCGCGCGCUCCCGUUUUAUUGAGAGAGCGCGGCUGGCGAGACAGUGGGGAACUCUGUCGUGGUUGCUGCCGCCGUCGCUUCAUCUUUGUGGCUCGAGUCCCCGCUGCGCGACUCGUAAGAGAGUGGAGAAAUCUGCCGCCGCCGCUGUUGCGGCUCUUGUUCCGUGCGCUCGUUCUUUAUGAUGCGGCUGGCAAUAUAGUGGGGGACAUCUGCCGUUGACUGCUCGUCGCGUUCUAUCCUACGCUAUAGUUCUGAAAAGAACUGUUUCAUUCUCACUUUCAUUCUCACACGUCUUUUAUUUCUACGUUAAAAUUUGUUUGUAGUCCUGAAAAGGACUGCUUGAUUAUUUGUGCCGUCUUUGGCCGAAGGUCACCGCUGCUGUCAUCGUCCGCUCGCUACUCCAUAGUAAAUGGAACUUUGUCUCCGCGCGCGAGGUAGUUGAGAGAAAGCCUCUCGCUACUGCUACCGUCCGCUAUCGAGACUCUAGACCCGCUGCGUGGCUCGCGAGAUGGGGGAAUCUGCCGCCGCCGUUGCUCUGCUGCUGCUGCUGCUCCCAUGACGAACGAUGAAUGACUGAUAGCACUCGUCAAAACGCGCUCCCUUGGGAGGAAAAAACUUUUUCCUUCAAGGGAAUAGUUUUUUCCCGCUGCUAAGAAAAACGCGAUUUUUCAUUUAUUUUACAUGCAUGGAAACAUGCAUGGCCUUUUUCAUUCAUACCAGUCAUAUAGAUAUACAACCUGUGCUACUCGAUAAUAUCUUAUGCUGCUUAAUGACUAAUAACGCGAGACCAAACACAAUAAGUAUCAAGAUAUGUAAACCAUUUUAUUAAUCCCCAAUACUUUUAUCCUCUCCUGUACAAUACUUUUUAUAUCCAUCUUCUCGUUAUUUAGCAACGCCCGAUGUUCGUUUUGAAUCGCGUUCGAUUGUUUAUUGUUUAUUUUAGCUGACGUUAUGCGCACGGAAGGAAAGCGUACUUUAAAGUAUCUUUUUCUCUAGGAUCCCGUCGACGGCUGCUAUCUAGCUCGCUUCCGCGCAGACGGUAUCAAAAACUAUAACCGGUAAUUUUCUCAGACUUCUAUGCACAGCCGUUUUUCUAAAAGUUGAGAGCAAAGGAGCGCGUCAAUUUAACACGGUUAGUAUAUCUAUAUAACUAGUGUGGUGGCCCCUUAAUGGCACGAUGCAACAUAUACACGAAGACUAGCACAACUCAAACUUUAAACAACGAAUUUCUAUGAAAAUUUCCCGAUUUUUGCGAAACGGUCCCUAAUGAACAUUUUUAAAUAUUCACAAUUUACAACUUUUUACCGAAUUUAAAAUUGUUUUCCCAACCCAAACACAAUAAUUUUUUACAAACAUAUUUUUAAUCAUUCACUUUUUUCAGAAAUUUCCGAAACCUAUUAAAACUUUGAGGUUUGUCUGUCUUUGUCCAAGGUUUUCAUGAACUUAACCAACCAAAUAACUCAAUAAAAACGUAAAAUACUCACAUUUUAAGUAAUAUAAAGUCGCGAGUUCUGCUACUCUUCACGGCAAAUCGUGAGUUGUGCUAGUUUUUGUUUGAAAAUUUGAACUGUGCUAGUCUUCGUAGGGAGCAACGAUAUAUUAGGGGCUUUCAAGGACUAUGAAGUAUGUAUCAGAUAUGCAUUUUGUAUUUAGGAAAAAUAUGUUUAUUUCAAAGCAAAACUAAGAUAAUCUAAACUGAAUAUUUUAUGCUUUUAUUUAAAAAAAUAUAUACCUAUGCAUGAUAAUAUAUUUAAUUAUUGAAGGAAAAGAUAAAUAUAAAUUUCAUAAUUUUAAGGGUAUAUUUGGCCAGUACUGUGGCUUAGCUUUGUCUAUGUGCCUUUCAAUUGUGGUUUGAAGGGCUGU